AUUGAACGCUGGCGGCAGGCCUAACACAUGCCAGUCGAGCGGUAGAGCGAAGCUUGCUUCUCUUGAGAGCGGCGGACGGGUGAGUAAUGCCUAGGAAUCUGCCUGGUAGUGGGGGAUAACGUUCGGAAACGGACGCUAAUACCGCAUACGUCCUACGGGAGAAAGCAGGGGACCUUCGGGCCUUGCGCUAUCAGAUGAGCCUAGGUCGGAUUAGCUAGUUGGUGGGGUAAUGGCUCACCAAGGCGACGAUCCGUAACUGGUCUGAGAGGAUGAUCAGUCACACUGGAACUGAGACACGGUCCAGACUCCUACGGGAGGCAGCAGUGGGGAAUAUUGGACAAUGGGCGAAAGCCUGAUCCAGCCAUGCCGCGUGUGUGAAGAAGGUCUUCGGAUUGUAAAGCACUUUAAGUUGGGAGGAAGGGCAGUAAAUUAAUACUUUGCUGUUUUGACGUUACCGACAGAAUAAGCACCGGCUAACUCUGUG
rnacentral:rRNA from 1 species